UCAGGCCUAACACAUGCAAGUCGAGCGCCCGGAUUUAUCCGGGAGCGGCGCACGGGUGAGUAACGCGUGGGAACAUGCCCUGAAGUACGGAACAACCUGGGGAAACCUUGGCUAAUACCGUAUACGCCCUGAGGGGGAAAGAUUUAUCGCUUUGGGAUUGGCCCGCGUUGGAUUAGCUAGUUGGUGUGGUAACGGCGCACCAAGGCGACGAUCCAUAACUGGUCUGAGAGGAUGACCAGUCACACUGGGACUGAGACACGGCCCAGACUCC
rnacentral:rRNA from 1 species